UCCUGGCUCAGGAUUGAACGCUGGCGGCGUGCCUAAUACAUGCAAGUCGAACGAAACUUUCUUACACCGAAUGCUUGCAUUCACCGUAAGAAGUUGAGUGGCGGACGGGUGAGUAACACGUGGGUAACCUGCCUAAAAGAAGGGGAUAACACUUGGAAACAGGUGCUAAUACCGUAUAUCUCUAAGGAUCGCAUGAUCCUUAGAUGAAAGAUGGUUCUGCUAUCGCUUUUAGAUGGACCCGCGGCGUAUUAACUAGUUGGUGGGGUAACGGCCUACCAAGGUGAUGAUACGUAGCCGAACUGAGAGGUUGAUCGGCCACAUUGGGACUGAGACACGGCCCAAACUCCUACGGGAGGCAGCAGUAGGGAAUCUUCCACAAUGGACGCAAGUCUGAUGGAGCAACGCCGCGUGAGUGAAGAAGGUCUUCGGAUCGUAAAACUCUGUUGUUAGAGAAGAACACGAGUGAGAGUAACUGUUCAUUCGAUGACGGUAUCUAACCAGCAAGUCACGGCUAACUACGUGCCAGCAGCCGCGGUAAUACGUAGGUGGCAAGCGUUGUCCGGAUUUAUUGGGCGUAAAGGGAACGCAGGCGGUCUUUUAAGUCUGAUGUGAAAGCCUUCGGCUUAACCGGAGUAGUGCAUUGGAAACUGGAAGACUUGAGUGCAGAAGAGGAGAGUGGAACUCCAUGUGUAGCGGUGAAAUGCGUAGAUAUAUGGAAGAACACCAGUGGCGAAAGCGGCUCUCUGGUCUGUAACUGACGCUGAGGUUCGAAAGCGUGGGUAGCAAACAGGAUUAAAUACCCUGGUAGUCCAA
rnacentral:rRNA from 2 species